rnacentral:rRNA from 1 species
UACGUAGGGAGCAAGCGUUGUCCGGAAUCAUUGGGCGUAAAGCGCGCGUAGGUGGCCACAUAAGUCCGUUGUGAAAGUCAAAGGCUCAACCUUUGAAAGCCGAUGGAUACUGUGUGGCUAGAGUACGGAAGAGGCGAGUGGAAUUCCUGGUGUAGCGGUGGAAUGCGCAGAUAUCAGGAGGAACACCAAUAGCGAAAGCAGCUUUCUGGGACGGUACUGACGCUGAGACGCGAAAGCGUGGGGAGCAAACAGG